rnacentral:rRNA from 1 species
AUUGAACGCUGGCGGCAGGCCUAACACAUGCAAGUCGAGCAGAGCGGCGGACGGGUGAGUAAUGUCUGGGAAUCUGCCUGGUAGUGGGGGAUAACGUCCGGAAACGGGCGCUAAUACCGCAUACUAUCAGAUGAGCCUAGGUUGGAUUAGCUAGUUGGUGGGGUACAGGCCUACCAAGGCGACGAUCCGUAACUGGUCUGGGAGGAUGAUCAGUCACACUGGAACGGGGACACGGUCCAGACUCCUACGGGAGGCAGCAGUGGGGAAUAUUGGACAAUGGGCGAAAGCCUGAUCCAGCCCUGCCGCGUGUGUGAAGAAGGUCUUCGGAUUGUAAAGCACUUUAAGUUGGGAGGCGUUACCAACAGAAUAAGCACCGGCUAACUUCGUGCCAGCAGCCGCGGUAAUAC